AGCUACGGGAAACUGUAGGUAAUACCUUAUAAUAUGUGCAACCCUCAAAGAUUUAUCGCCUAGAGAGGAGCCCGUGCCAGAUUAGGUCGUUGGUGGGGUAACAGCCUACCAAGCCUAUGAUCUGUAGUUGGUCUGAGAGGAUGAUCAGCCACACUGGGACUGAGAACGGCCCAGACUCCUACGGGGGGCAGCAGUGGGGAAUAUUGGACAAUGGGGGAAACCCUGAUCCAGCAAUGCCGCGUGAGUGAAGAAGGCCUUUGGGUUGUAAAGCUCUUUCACCUGUGACGAUAAUGACGGUAGCAGGACAAGAAGCCCCGGCUAACUCCGUGCCAGCAGCCGCGGUAAGACGGAGGGGGCAAGCGUUAUUCGGAAUUACUGGGCGUAAAGGGUGCGUAGGCGGUUUUUUAAGCAAGGUGUGAAAGCCCUGGGCUCAACCCAGGAACGGCGCUUUGAACUGAAGAACUAGAGUACGAAAGAGGAAAGAGGAAUUCCUAGUGUAGGGGUGAAAUCCAUAGAUAUUAGGAAGAACACCAAAGGCGAAGGCGACUUUCUGGUUCGUAACUGACGCUGAGGCACGAAAGCGUGGGGAGCAAAUAGGAUUAGAUACCCUAGUAGUCCACGCUGUAAACGAUGAAUGCUAGACGUUGGGGGUUCGUCCUUCAGUGUCGCAGCUAACGCGUGAAGCAUUCCGCCUGGGGAGUACGGUCGCAAGAUUAAAACUCAAAGGAAUUGACGGGGGCCUGCACAAGCGGUGGAGCAUGUGGUUUAAUUCGACGCAACGCGCAAAACCUUACCAGCUUUUGACAUAGGGACAGAAGGCAUCAGAGAUGAAGCCUGCGGUUCGGCCGGGUCCCGUACAGGUGCUGCAUGGCUGUCGUCAGCUCGUGUCGUGAGAUGUUGGGUUAAGUCCCGCAACGAGCGCAACCCUCGUUCUUAGUUGCCAGCAGUUCGGCUGGGGACUCUAAGAAAACUGCCGGUGACAAGCCGGAGGAAGGUGGGGAUGAUGUCAGGUCCUCAUGGCCCUUAUGGGCUGGGCUACACACGUGCUACAAUGGCGAUCACAAUGAGAAGCAAGGGGGUGACCCGGAGCCAAUCUCUAAAAAUCGUCUCAGUUCGGAUUGUUCUCUGCAACUCGAGAGCAUGAAGUUGGAAUCGCUAGUAAUCGCAGAUCAGCAUGCUGCGGUGAAUACGUUU
rnacentral:rRNA from 1 species